GUGACUGGAGUUCAGCUGUGUGCCCUUCCGGUUUAGGGGCUACUAGGAGUGAGUCUGCUAAUCCUAAGUAGUUUUAGUAAGAUCAGUGUGCUUUGUGAAUGGAAACAUAUAAAUGUCUUUUAAAGGGCUGUUUGCCAGUGCCUGCCUAGCGCUUAAGCAGCAUGUGUAUUAUAUCUAUCUUUAACUAGCGUGCACAGCAUUCUCCUGCUACGUGCCUAGAUAUAUACACAGAUUCAGAUGCAAGUAGAUAGACCUUCCAAAGUCGUCCAAGUUUUAUUGUAAAGGUUGUUUUUGUUUUUUUUAAAAAGGGGGGUUAGUAAGUAAUAAAGGGACUGGAGAACAGAGACCUAAUCGAAAGCUCAUUGAACUAAAUGGCAAGACUUCUUCUGGCUUCAGUGAGCUUUGAAUCAGACCCAGUGGGCAAUACGAAUGGUGAAAGAACAAUAGAUAGGAUGCUUGCUAAUUACUCAGUGGCCACACUACACUUGCAUGAGCAUUUUCAUUUCUCAGCAGCUUAUUUAUCUUCAACAGUAUUGUUUUUAAAAGGCAUAGCAGGUAACAUUCUAGGCUUUUUCUCUUACUUUUAACUCUUCCUACUGUUUAACUACUAGCGGAAAUAGGUGCUGGGGCACUCAGGGCACAUAAACCUACUGUGAUAAUGAGAGAGCUGAAAAAAAUAGGCUAGAGACAGCGGUACAUUUAGACAGCGCCCCCAGUAUAAAGUUACCCUGACUGAUCGCUGGGAAGGAAGGAAUGAAAAACACUAUCACGCUACUGUUGUGGGCUAGUAAUAUAGCUAUUGUAUUGGGUUUUGUGUUGGUGGUGGGUCCUUGUACCCCUUUCAGAGAUCCAGGAACCUAAUAUCCUUUACCCAUUUUAAGCAUGUUUAUAAAAAUCCUGCUCCACUGAUCCUGGCUGGUCAGAACAAGAUGUACGUCUCCAUGGACCAUCUCAGAAUACCGACUCUCUAGGCUAAGGCUUGGUCUACACGUGGAAGUUAUAUUGGCAUAGCUCCCUCAGUCAGCGGUAUUAACCCCCCCGCAUAGAUACAGCUGUGUUGACAGAAGAGUGCGGCUUCCUUUGCUGCAGCUAAUGUUCGGGGAGGUGAUAUUCCUACGCCUACAGAAACCCCCCGGCGGGGUCUCCAUUACAGGGCUCUGCUGCCCAGUUUAUGCCGAUACAGUCUCCACAAUGUAGACAUACCCUAACAUUCCAAAUGUGCUACUGAAUUCAUGGUGCAAGCAAGCAAACUCAGCUCAGAAGAGUUGGCCACAAUUUAAAUUUCCCCAUAGCUCAGCAAUGGGUCAGUGAUAAACUUUAAUUCUGGACUAAUGAAUAUUGAACAGUAAAAAAUUAAAUUAAAUUAAAUUAGGGAGUCACUUUAAGUUUGCCAGUAUGAUAUUAUCUGGAUGGCCUUGAUUUCCAUAUUAAAUAUGUGUAUAUAUAAUUUCUGGGAUGUUUAGAAAUAGUGUUUCAAAUUCUAAAUUUUGUAUUUGGAUAUAAAGAAUGCAGAGUGAGGUUAUCACUUUAUACAUUUUAAAUGUUCCAUAAUUUGAUUUUACAAAAUGCCCUAUGUUUUAUGGAAAUGAAGAUAUCUUUCUAUAGUUCCUUGCUAAGGACAUGCAUGUAGGAAAGGUACUGUCCUACAUUCGGAUUCAAAUUAAAGCAGCAGCUCUAACCAA